rnacentral:rRNA from 1 species
GACGAACGCUGGCGGCGUGCCUAAUACAUGCAAGUUGAGCGCUGAAGGUUGGUACUUGUACCAACUGGAUGAGCAGCGAACGGGUGAGUAACGCGUGGGGAAUCUGCCUUUGAGCGGGGGACAACAUUUGGAAACGAAUGCUAAUACCGCAUAAAAACUUUAAACACAAGUUUUAAGUUUGAAAGAUGCAAUUGCAUCACUCAAAGAUGAUCCCGCGUUGUAUUAGCUAGUUGGUGAGGUAAAGGCUCACCAAGGCGAUGAUACAUAGCCGACCUGAGAGGGUGAUCGGCCACAUUGGGACUGAGACACGGCCCAAACUCCUACGGGAGGCAGCAGUAGGGAAUCUUCGGCAAUGGACGAAAGUCUGACCGAGCAACGCCGCGUGAGUGAAGAAGGUUUUCGGAUCGUAAAACUCUGUUGGUAGAGAAGAACGUUGGUGAGAGUGGAAAGCUCAUCAAGUGACGGUACCUACACAGAAAGGGACGGCUAACUACGUG